ACCCGAAACCUUUUGGUGCACAGGACAAUGCUGCAACCAACUAAGCCACCUGGCCAGGGCUCACGUACAUUUUCAUACAUGCACAGAAUAAAAACUUUUGUGAGUAUUGUGCAGUCCGUUUCCCUGUCUGCCCUAGGCUGGUGAGGGGAACGAGAGCCAGGUGCCAGCACCACCGGGCGUGGACUAAUGACUGGGGGGCUGAGGGAGCUUCCACUUUGUAUACUUGCAAUCUUUUCUUCUGAUGAUGUUUUAGGGCAGUUCUGCUGAGCGGGCCAAUGGUCCAGAUGAGGUCUUUCAAGGGCUCCUCCUACUCUAUGAGUCUUCAUUUUCAAAGCAUCUGAAGAAGUUGGCAGAACUUUUUCCUUUUUUCCACUAAGGCUAAACUUACAGACAGUGACAUAGCCACUUUCGAAUGGCAUAAAACAGCAUUUGCCCUUGCACUGUGCUCAACUUUACAUCCCCUGGAAACACUGGGAAGUCGUUGCCUGUUGUUGAUUUUCAACUUUGGCUAACCACCUGUCGCUCUAGAG